GGUAAACUAGGAUUAGAUACCCUAGUAUACAAACAAUUUUAGGAAGUAAUUUUUUUUUAUAAAACCUAUUUGAAAUGGCGGCAUUUCAUCUUUUUAAAGGAAUCUGUUAUAUAAUCGAUACCCCACGAUAAUUUUCACUUUAAUUAAAAAUUUAUAUACCGCCAUCUAAAGAAUUAAUUUAAUGAUACUAUUCUAAAUAAUAAAAUAAAAAGUUAGGUCAAGGUGUAAUCUCAUUAAAGUAAACAAUGGAUUACAUUAAAAACAAUUUAAGAAUAUAAUAAAUAAAUUUUUUAUUAAAAAAGGAUUUAUAAGUAAUG
rnacentral:rRNA from 1 species